rnacentral:piRNA from 1 species
UUACAGAGGCAGUUUUAUAUU